CCUACGGGGGGCAGCAGUGAGGAAUAUUGGUCAAUGGACGAAAGUCUGAACCAGCCAUGUCGCGUGCAGGAUGACGGCUCUAUGAGUUGUAAACUUCUUUUGUACGGGAAUAAAACGCGGCACGUGUUCCUUUUUGCAUGUACCUUAUGAAUAAGGAUCGGCUAACUCCGUGCCAGCAGCCGCGGUAAUACGGAGGAUCCGAGCGUUAUCCGGAUUUAUUGGGUUUAAAGGGUGCGUAGGUGGUUUGUUAAGUUAGAGGUGAAAGUUUGGGGCUCAACCGUAAAAUUGCCAUUAAUACUGGUAGACUUGAGUAUAGUUGCGGUAGGCGGAAUGCGUGGUGUAGCGGUGAAAUGCUUAGAGAUCACGCAGAACACCGAUUGCGAAGGCAGCUUACUAAACUAUAACUGACAUUGAGGCACGAAAGCGUGGGUAUCAAACAGGAUUAGAUACCCCAGUAGUC
rnacentral:rRNA from 1 species